rnacentral:rRNA from 1 species
GUCGGUGACAAUAGGUCCGGGGAGACACCUGUUCCCAUCCCGAACACAGCAGUUAAGCCCGGGCCGCCGAUGAUACUGUUCUGCGGGAAAGUAGGUCAUCGCCGACA